rnacentral:tRNA from 1 species
UCCGUGGUGGCUCAAUGGUAAAGAAUCUGCCUGCAAUGCAGAAGACCUGGGUUCGACCCCUGGGUUGGAA